ensembl:lncRNA
GUGUGUGUGUGUGUGUGUGUGUUUCCUUUGCCCGCUUGUUAUUAUUUUCUUUAAUACAUAACAGGUUUCUGUGUGUCGUGUGUGUCUUUGCAUGUUUCUAAAUUAUUGUUUACAAUCUCCAUAUAUACAUGAAGGUAAUAAUUGUGUUAAUUGUAUUGUUUUCAGAGACGCUCCUGGGAAUUCAAGAACAGUUCAAUCUAGACAGGCAUCAAGGAAGACUGACAGCCUGUUUCCAGAGACGCUCCUGGGAAUUCAAGAACAGUUCAAUCUAGACAGUAAUAUCUGAUGGUGAGGAUCUGGGGCCACGUGAAACUAAUCCAGUCAUGACUGAGACAGUAAAUACACAGACCUGUACAAACCAUGUGUUGAGGAAGAGGAUGAGGAGUUGGUUGCAGUUGAAGAGUUUACAACACACACCAACUAACCAACACACUAACUGAGCUUGCCUGUGGCAUUCCAGUUUUUCCUCUGUACAAUAUUUCUCGUGUUUAAAUAAUUUUUGUAAAAGUAGCAAAUUUAUGUCCAUCUCUCCUUUCCCUGUCUUGUGCACUUCUAAAAGUGCUCAAGCCACCCUGCCCUCUGCGUCAUUCCAGUCUUGCUAUGUGCAAAGCAAGACAUGGGAUUCUUUAGAUCAACACAAAUUUUUUUUUCGAAUAUAUUUGUUUAGGUGGAUGGUAAUUUAAGAGAAUAUUUAAUAGUUUUCUUUAGGUAAUUUAAAUGUGAUUGUCACUGCACCAAAAUGAACCAAUGUUUGUGUUCACUCUUUAGAUUCAGAGAUGGUCUUUCAGCCCUUCAGUUCAGUGCAGCCUCACCCUGCUUUGUUGUCCCCUGUCCUGACCCACUUUGAAAAGGGGCGGACUGCUCUGGAACCUGAGAGACUCUUCCAACCUGACCUCAGUCCACCACGGAGCAACAGGAGACUUAAAUAAAGUAACACUUUGAGCUACUGGGCGGACUAACUCCUUGACUGUGAAGAAGGUGAGGCUGGCGUGUCUGUGGAGGACAGACUGAAUUCACUUCCCCCAUCUGGAUUGGAACCAUCACCAAGAAUAGAGUUCCUGGAUGACUCUCCAUUCCCAAUGGCAAAUACAUGUUGUGAAGGACCGGCGUGGUCGCCCCACGUAUCUGGGAUACGGCCAACCAGAUUCAGAGAGUGUGGGCAAAAACGAGGGCAAUUUUUCAGGACAAGAAAAGUGAAUCUAUAUUUUCUCUCAAGUACUGGCUUCCCAUCAAGCCAGCACCACCUUCAGCCCCCAAACACCAAAUGAGGCAGCCCUUAAAUAGGGGAAUGAUUGGUCCAAUCAAGGCCGUAUGGGCCCACCACUAUUUGGGGGAACAUUCUUUAGCUAGAGCUACCAAUCCUACAUAUCUGAACAGAAAGUACAUUGUGUGAAUACAAAAUAAACAUGAC